CGCAUAACUCCGAGCUUGUUGACCUACGUUUAUAUUCAAAAUAGGGUCGCAAUGCCAAUAACGAUGUUUGUUAUUCAGGGAUACGCUGGAAACGGUUUAUCCUCUCCAUAUUAGAAAGGUGUCACAUGCA
rnacentral:ncRNA from 1 species